rnacentral:rRNA from 2 species
GCUGGCGGCGUGCCUAAUACAUGCAAGUCGAGCGAACGGACGAGAAGCUUGCUUCUCUGAUGUUAGCGGCGGACGGGUGAGUAACACGUGGAUAACCUACCUAUAAGACUGGGAUAACUUCGGGAAACCGGAGCUAAUACCGGAUAAUAUUUUGAACCGCAUGGUUCAAAAGUGAAAGACGGUCUUGCUGUCACUUAUAGAUGGAUCCGCGCUGCAUUAGCUAGUUGGUAAGGUAACGGCUUACCAAGGCAACGAUGCAUAGCCGACCUGAGAGGGUGAUCGGCCACACUGGAACUGAGACACGGUCCAGACUCCUACGGGAGGCAGCAGUAGGGAAUCUUCCGCAAUGGGCGAAAGCCUGACGGAGCAACGCCGCGUGAGUGAUGAAGGUCUUCGGAUCGUAAAACUCUGUUAUUAGGGAAGAACAUAUGUGUAAGUAACUGUGCUA